UGGGGAAUUUUGGACAAUGGGCGCAAGCCUGAUCCAGCCAUGCCGCGUGCGGGAAGAAGGCCUUCGGGUUGUAAACCGCUUUUGUCAGGGAAGAAAUCUUCUGAGUUAAUACCUCGGGAGGAUGACGGUACCUGAAGAAUAAGCACCGGCUAACUACGUGCCAGCAGCCGCGGUAAUACGUAGGGUGCAAGCGUUAAUCGGAAUUACUGGGCGUAAAGCGUGCGCAGGCGGUUUUGUAAGACAGAGGUGAAAUCCCCGGGCUCAACCUGGGAACUGCCUUUGUGACUGCAAGGCUUGAGUGCGGCAGAGGGGGAUGGAAUUCCGCGUGUAGCAGUGAAAUGCGUAGAUAUGCGGAGGAACACCGAUGGCGAAGGCAAUCCCCUGGGCCUGCACUGACGCUCAUGCACGAAAGCGUGGGGAGCAAACAGGAUUAGAUAGCCCUGGUAGUCCACGCCCUAAACGAUGUCAACUGGUUGUUGGGAAGGUUCCUUCUCAGUAACGUAGCUAACGCGUGAAGUUGACCGCCUGGGGAGUACGGCCGCAAGGUUGAAACUUAAAUGAAUUGAC
rnacentral:rRNA from 1 species